UACGUAGGGGGCAAGCGUUGUCCGGAUUUAUUGGGCGUAAAGAGCGUGUAGGCGGCCAAACAGGUCCACUGUGAAAACUCGAGGCUCAACCUCGAGAGGUCGGUGGAAACCGUCUGGCUAGAGUCCGGAAGAGGGUCGUGGAAUUCCCAGUGUAGAGGUGAAAUUCGUAGAUAUUGGGAAGAACACCGGUGGCGAAGGCGGCGACCUGGUCCU
rnacentral:rRNA from 1 species